GCCACAAUUCAACCCUCAGUCAAAAGUUAAUUUAGGAUGUGGAAUACAUUUUUAGCUUUCGUCAGAGUCAAGUGGUCCACCACUCUCCCAAAUAGGAGAACCUAAAAUAGACAAAUCAAGACAGCUCUAGUUGUAACACGGCUGCUGCUCUGCAAGCUCACAUCCACUAUCCAGGCUGAAGCCAGAAGAAGUGGGAAGAGAAAAACUAAACCACAGGCUCAUUCUCCACUCUGUGAGCUCUAAUGGUGAGAGCAGUGUGAUGCUGGAAGCUGUGUGAUCAAAGAGGUUUUACCAUCUUCAGCCUGGGAUGCUCAAUGACAUCUUACACAUGAUCCUCUGCCAACCUGGAGACCUUGUCCUCUACUCUUUAGAGUUAUGAUGGAUCUCCCCACAAAAUCUGGUUCAGAUGUCAAGACCUACACACCAAGAAACGAUCAGAAGAAUUAUCAUUCACAUGAGACUUUCUGGGGCAAGCAGAGUGGC
rnacentral:lncRNA from 1 species